rnacentral:rRNA from 1 species
GCAUAUCAAUAAGCGGAGGAAAAGAAAAUAACAAUGAUUCCCUCAGUAACGGCGAGCGAAGAGGGAUAAGCUCAAAUUUUAAAUCUGUUGGGUUUCACUUAACAGAGUUGUAUUUUGAAGAAACGUUUUCUGCAUCCAGGAUUAGCCUAAAUCCUUUGGGAUAAGGUAUCAUGGAGGGUGAGAAUCCCGUUCAUGGUUAAUCUUAAGGAAGCUCUACGAUACGUUUUCCAAGAGUCGAGUUGUUUGGGAUUGCAGCUCAAAAUGGGAGGUAAAUUUCUCCUAAGGCUAAAUAUUGGCGAGAGACCGAUAGCGAACAAGUACCGUGAGGGAAAGAUGAAAAGAACUUUGAAAAGAGAGUUAAACAGUACGUGAAAUUGUUGAAAGGGAAACGAUUGAAGUCAGUCAUACCAACGGGAAAUCAACCUUUUGAGCUUGGUUUCGUGGGUUUUGAAGAGUUUCAAAGCCUUCGGAUUCGCGAGAUUGGGAUCUCUUGGUGUACUUUUUCGUACGGUUAGUCAACAUCGGUUUUGAAUGUCAUAAAAUGACUGGAGGAAUGUAGCUUCGAUCUCGUAUUGAAGUGUUAUAGCCCUUGGUAGAUGUGAUGUUUGAGACCGAGGAUUGCAACGGAUACCCUUCAAGGCUAUUCGUCUGAUCUCUGAUACGUUGCCUUGAUGUUGAAAGCUUGCUUAUGAUGUUAGGGUAUUACGGUCAAAAGGUUAGAACGAAUUACAUUCGUUAAGGAUGUUGACGUAAUGACUUUAAACGACCCGUCUUGAAACACGGACCA